UUUUUUUUCCAACUAGCCUAUAUGAAAUUUACUCAGAAACUUGGAGAGAAUUAUGGUAACUAUCUCAUUCCUUACCUAAUUAAUUCUUUCCACACAGAAACUUGGAGUGAAUGUUCUUUAUUUUUGUUGUUUUUCUUGCAAUAUGAUAGGCCAUAACAAUAACAAAGUGUUAGUCACAAAUAUUGAGGUCAGCUAUGGAUCCUCAUUUCCUCUCAAAACUUUUUCAUUUUUUUGCAACAUGGUAGAAUACUUAUUACUUCACUCACUUAAUUCACUUUUUUAUUUCUCAAACUUUGGUCUGAUAGGUUAUCAUGAAUGAAAGCUAUAGCUUGGUGUUACCACUCAAAGUAUUCUCUGCUUUUAAGGAUAGCUUAAUUUCAUGGUGAAUGAUUUUUGGACUUCUCAACCAGUAAGACUUCAUUGAACAGGGAUUGCUUGGAGAGUUCUGUUACUUCAUAACGAAGGCAUUCCUUUCAUCUUUGGAUUAAUUUAUUAAGGUUGCUUAGCAUACCAUGGAUUAUGUUAGAGAUAUAGCACCUGUGAAAUAUCAUAUGAAUCUAGCACCUUGUUGGAAUUUUUUGUUUAGUGCUCUGCCUGAUAGGUUCAUGCUUGAUGGUAUAUUUGUGUUGCUGUUGUCAAGUGUCAUUCUUUUGUUUUCCUGAGUUGUAAUUGUCUUAGUGCUCUGUUUGCUGGUUCAGACUUGCUGUUGUAUAUGUGUUGCUGGUUUUCGGCUUGGUUUCAAUGAAAUUUCUGCCUCAUUAUCCAAAAAUAAAAUAAAAUAAAAUCUAGCACCUUCUAUUCUCAAGAACAGGAGUUCCUAACUUUUCUAAUGGCUUUUAAAUUGAAUACUAGACAACAAAAGCUAUCAGACAGAAGGGAACAAAUGAUUUUAUUUCUAACAAUUUGAGUUCCAAAGUAAAAUUAUAAGGUCUUUACACAAAUUGAACCCUUUUUCCUCAUUUUUUGUAAAAAAUUUCCAAUUAUGUUGUAUAAGUAAAUUCUCUUCUGGGCAGAAGUUGGCUUUCAAGGUGAAGGCAAGACUGUUCACCUAAAUGAGAAUGACCGAUGCUUUUAAAACAUGAACUUCCUCUCUUUGUGGUCCUGGGAUGUUGUAAUGGAUACCAAGGCUUAUUUGAUUGAAUUCACUGGUAUUUUUCGCAUUUCCUUUUUUUACCCUUUAUCUGCUCUUAGGAUUUUCGAUCUUUAAUUAAUUUAUGACUUUUGCAUAUUAAUAAAAAAAGCAUGUGACUUUUCCUUCAUCAUUUUCUUCUUUCCGAUAAAUUGCAUCUUUGUUUCUCAAAUUGAGUUGAUGGGAUGAUGUAUUUGAUGUGCUUCAACUAUUGUUUAAACAGAGUAAAAUUUGGCUCAGGGUGAUAUCGAGGUAAUAUUGCAAGGAGAAUUAAAUCUUAAAACCAUGCUGCUGGAAUUAGCUCAUUGUAUAGGAAUUUUGCUGCUUCAAAUCCUUUUUAUAUGUAAGCACCUAACUUGCUGUUAUAUCUUCAAAUCAAAAUCAUAAUAAUAAUGACUCGCAAUUUUUUCUAGUAGUUUGGUCUUCUUUGAAAACAUAGCUCGAUUUUUUAAAUCAUUUGAUAAAUUCCAAUAAAAUGGAAAAUGUUCCUAUAUGUUAUCAAAACAGCAAACUACUAUAUUUUUCUCCCUAUCAAUUUUUAUAUUAUAAGUUGCUUGGGAAAGAAAAAGAACAAAAAAAAAAAAAAAAAAAUUUCUCUGGCAUUUGUUUCAUAACACUAAUUAUCAUAUAUUAUAAAACUAGAGAUCCAAAAAUAUUUUAAUUAUUGGUGUUGCUAUGACAGAAUAAAUAAUAUAGCUAGCACUAUUUUUUUUGUGAAGAAAUCCUUUCUACAGAGAUAUUAGCAAUAGAACUUCAUGCAUCAUUUUAAUGUGUGCUUCAAGCUCUGAUCAUGUACAUUUAUAUUGGCAGUUUUUCACAAAAAUCCAUAGCUUCCUUUGGUGAACCAUCCAAAGAGGCAACUCAUACAAUAUCCUAAUUUCUAUCUCAAGUCCUUUUGGUCAUUUCCCCCUUGUUUCUUCUUUCACCUUUUUAAGACUUGAUUUUUACUUGUAGAUUUUUUGUCAUUCCAUAUGACUUCUUGUUGUCAGUUUAUGUACUAAUAUCUAUCUUGAUUUGUUCCAUUUCACAUGCUAAUAUGAUGAGAAGUGUUGAGUAAAUGAUAAUCCAUGUAUAAGGUGAUGUAGUGCUUUUAAUUCCAUAAUUACAUUGAGGUACAUGGAUAAUUACUUUGACAAAGUAUGCAAAUAACCUCAUGACUCCUGCAAGAGGUGAGCCUACGUAUCUGAAUUAGUAAUGGUUUAACAGUUGCUUAGGUAUUGCAGCACAUUAAGUUUGGAAUUUUUUACUUGUCAUGGUUGUGUCUGUUUCUAUGUAUUAUUAUGCAUUCAUCAGAAUUGUUAUUUGAAGAUAGUUUAACUUUAUAUAUUGAGUUAAAAAAGGUGCAAGGAAGGAAAAUAUAUCUCUGGUAAAGAAUAAAUAAUUCCUAAUGAAUUCUCAUUUUAAAGGAGGAAUUUGAUUUUCAUGAUCCAAAAUAAUGUGAACCAUUUGUUUGGAUUUUUGUUUUUUACUUUUUUUUAAUAUCUUUUCUCACUUAUUUAGUAAAAAAAAUCCAGGUGGAAAUUUGUCAAGAGUAGACUAAGCUUUUCACAUCCCAGGGUUCAAAAUUUAUUUUAGAAGGAUUUAAUUCGUGUGUCUACAGGUAUGGGGACUUUAUUAGUUAUUGGGUUCUAUACUUCUAUAUGCAAAUGCCUGAGGAUAAUUGAUAAUACAGCAGACAAGAGUUUUGUAAUGCAUGUUUUUCUAAAUCUACUUGGUACAAAAAUUAUGCAGAAACUAAGAAAAAGAAUGGUUCCCAUGAAUGAAGACCAUGCUUUUAAGGAUAGUUUAAUUUCAUGAAUUAUUAUUUGAAGAUAUUUCCCCAUGGUCUUGGUGCUCAUUGAUGAAGACAAAAGGUGUUGGAAGGUUGAUUUUGUUAGACGAACCUACCUACCUUUGAAGCAGACAUCAUCCUAAACAUCCCUCUCAGCUACACCCUCCUAGAUGAUCAAAUCAUAUGAAUUGGAAGCAAGAAAGGUGAAUUCUCUGUCAAAAGCGUUUACUAUGUAGCACUUCCAAUCAUUCAUCCAUCUAAUGAGGGUGAAAGCUCAAGAGAUGAUCCUUGCUCGCCUCUCUAGAAAAGGAUGUGGCACCUCAACAUCCCAGCAAAGAUCAGAAUCUUCGCCUGGCAUGCCUGCAUGAAUGCCCUCCCCACUAUGCAUUGCCUAAGAACCAGAGGAGUAAGCACAUAUGGUAUUUGCCCUGUUUGUGACUUGUGCCCUGAAAGUACUCCGCAUGCCCUUAUACAGUGUGACACUCCCAAAGAGGUGUGGAGCAGUUGUCUAAACUGUCCAGUGGAUUAGGAGUCAAAUUCUGGGGAUUUUACUGAUCUAGCAUUUCAUUUCGUCACCAAUGGCACCACUCAAGACUUGGAAACUUUUUUUGUCACAGCCUAGCCUAUUUGGUACAACCAGAAUCAGAUGGUACAUGAGUCAAUCUCAUCACUUCCCAUCCAAAUAUGGGAAACUGCUAGGAGAACUGUCAAGGAUUGCAAAGGUGCCCUUAUCAACUGCAUUUCAGCUGAAAUCCAACCCAGCUUUGUGCUGGACUGCCCCACCUCCUAGCACUCACAAAUAUGGUAGAAAAAGUUCUCAUAAAUGAAGAUUGUUGGCACUUAGAGACUUCUUAACUUGAUUAGUUCUGUGAACAAAAGGAUUGUUUGGUGAAUUUUGUAAAAUCGUAAACAAGACAUUUGCUUUCAUCUUAGCUCCAAUUUCUCAAUGUUGCUCCAAUUUCUCAAUGUUGCUUACCAUACCAUGAUGUUAUAGACACAUUUUGAGAUAGGAAACCUGUAAAAUAUCAGAUGAAGAACCAAAGAAACCUACUCUUAAGAAGUGGGACUUAAUGAAAGCUUUUGGGUGCUGCAAUUGUUCAACUGAAUAACUCACUCACUGAGUCAAAUUGGCACAAGGUAAUAUUACUUGGGGAAUUGAAUCCGGUAACCAUGCUGUUGGAACCACCUCAUUGUACGGGUGUUUCAAGCUUUUAUCAAGUACAUUUGUAUAGCCAGCUUUCUACAACAAUUUGUGGCUUUCUCAAGUGAUUCUUGGACUUCUUAACUUGAGGAGUUCCAUAAACAAAAGGAUUGUUUAGUGAGUGUUGUAAAAUCAUAAACAAGACAUUUGAUUUCAUCUUUGCACCAAUUUCUUAAGGUUGCUUAUCAUACCAUGAAGUCUUUGCACUUUUUUCUCAAGUUUGUUUACCAUACCACGAAGUUAUAGACAUUUUGAAAUAGGAAAUCUGUAAAAUAUCAGGUAAUUUUAUUUCCAAUAGUUGAGGUUCCAAAAAAAUUUGUAAAUAUAGUCUUGGCACAGAUUGGAUAUUUGAAUAUGUAUGUUUUUCAUUUAUUUUUAUUUUUUUAGUUA